rnacentral:rRNA from 1 species
UGGRGGCGUGCCUAAUACAUGCAGUCGAGCGGACAGAUGGGAGCUUGCUCCCUGAUGUUAGCGGCGGACGGGUGAGUAACACGUGGGUAACCUGCCUGUAAGACUGGGAUAACUCCGGGAAACCGGGGCUAAUACCGGAUGGUUGUCUGAACCGCAUGGUUCAGACAUAAAAGGUGGCUUCGGCUACCACUUACAGAUGGACCCGCGGCGCAUUAGCUAGUUGGUGAGGUAACGGCUCACCAAGGCGACGAUGCGUAGCCGACCUGAGAGGGUGAUCGGCCACACUGGGACUGAGACACGGCCCAGACUCCUACGGGAGGCAGCAGUAGGGAAUCUUCCGCAAUGGACGAAAGUCUGACGGAGCAACGCCGCGUGAGUGAUGAAGGUUUUCGGAUCGUAAAGCUCUGUUGUUAGGGAAGAACAAGUGCCGUUCAAAUAGGGCGGCACCUUGACGGUACCUAACCAGAAAGCCACGGCUAACUACGUGCCAGCAGCCGCGGUAAUACGUAGGUGGCAAGCGUUGUCCGGAAUUAUUGGGCGUAAAGGGCUCGCAGGCGGUUUCUUAAGUCUGAUGUGAAAGCCCCCGGCUCAACCGGGGAGGGUCAUUGGAAACUGGGGAACUUGAGUGCAGAAGAGGAGAGUGGAAUUCCACGUGUAGCGGUGAAAUGCGUAGAGAUGUGGAGGAACACCAGUGGCGAAGGCGACUCUCUGGUCUGUAACUGACGCUGAGGAGCGAAAGCGUGGGGAGCGAACAGGAUUAGAUACCCUGGUAGUCCACGCCGUAAACGAUGAGUGCUAAGUGUUAGGGGGUUUCCGCCCCUUAGUGCUGCAGCUAACGCAUUAAGCACUCCGCCUGGGGAGUACGGUCGCAAGACUGAAACUCAAAGGAAUUGACGGGGGCCCGCACAAGCGGUGGAGCAUGUGGUUUAAUUCGAAGCAACGCGAAGAACCUUACCAGGUCUUGACAUCCUCUGACAAUCCUAGAGAUAGGACGUCCCCUUCGGGGGCAGAGUGACAGGUGGUGCAUGGUUGUCGUCAGCUCGUGUCGUGAGAUGUUGGGUUAAGUCCCGCAACGAGCGCAACCCUUGAUCUUAGUUGCCAGCAUUCAGUUGGGCACUCUAAGGUGACUGCCGGUGACAAACCGGAGGAAGGUGGGGAUGACGUCAAAUCAUCAUGCCCCUUAUGACCUGGGCUACACACGUGCUACAAUGGACAGAACAAAGGGCAGCGAAACCGCGAGGUUAA